GGAAGCCGGCUCCCCGCUUGUGGGCGGGGCGUUCGGAGCCGGCUGAGCGGCGCGGACCCGGCCGGUGGCGGGGUCCCCACGAGGACAGCAAGAACAUUCAGCAGCAUUAUCAGGACCGUUGAAAGCAGAAAUUAGAUUCACGGAUAUAAUGUCUAAUCACCUUCAUCAUCCUCUUCUUCAUCCACACCGUCCACCUCGGCAUCUGAGUCAGAAGCUUCUCGAUCCUCUCGGUCAUAGCCAUCCAGGUAGGUCAGCUGGGGCAAGAGCUUGAAGACACUCUCUCGGUAGUCAUUCAGGUUGGUAACCUCACA